rnacentral:tRNA from 1 species
AGCAGCGUGGCUUAGUGGGUAGAGCACGGCCUGGGAGUCAGAAGGACCUGGGUUCUAAUCCCAGCUCUGCUA